rnacentral:lncRNA from 1 species
AAACAAACAUCAAAGGGAGAGAGAGAGAGAGGGCCGAGAGCCUUGAGCAAGAAAGGAGAGAGAUUUCUUCCAAGUUCAUCUACUUCUAGCCAUUCAUCUUGAUCUUGGAGCUUAGGAAAACAGCCUUGGCACUUGAUUGUUGUGAUUCCAUCACUUGCAAAGCUUGGUUGAAGGUAAAACAUCUCACUUGAAAGUUAAAUUUUGGUGAUUGAGUCUUGAAGCCAUGAAAGUGAUGUUCUUGUUGUGGUUGUGAACUCUUAUUGUAUACAUGGUGAUUGUAGAGUAGUUUAAUGGUUUAUUUUGGUGGUAUUUUGUUGCAUGAAUUUUGGCUAAAGCUAGGAGAAGUUAGGGUUCCUUGCUUCAUGAUUCCUUAAGUUGGUUUGGUUGGUUAUUUGGCUUGCCAAUGGAAUUUUGGUGUGAUAAUUUCACUUGUAUGGUUGGUUCUUAGCAAAAUCCAAUUUGGUCAUGAAACCCUAGUUUAAAGGGAGUUAGGUUGGCUUAGCUAGGGCUUAAAUAGUUAAGGUUUGAUUGGUAUAUGGAUAGACAAAGUUAGUUAGGGCUUGUAAGGUUAGAACAAAGAAUAUGGUUAGUGUUUGCUAGGUUUUGAGGUUAAGUUGGGGAAGGAAUUUCGGGUUUCUUAUAGAACAAUUAGGAGAUGGUAUAUGUGUGUUGUAUUGGUGUGGAAAUAGUUAGAAAACUUGCAUGCGAUGCUUGCAUUUGGACCACGCGUUUGCGCCGCGGAAAUUAACUAACCCAGAAAAGAAAAAAAAAAUAGGACAGUGCAAUCCUGCAGCUUUGGUUCCAUUUUUCAUUGGGAUCCGUUCUGACUCAGUUUUUGCCCAAAACACAAAAGUUAUAGCCUUAUAACUAAGCUUUCCAACGCCUUUGGAAUUUCUUGAUUCGGAUCUACGAGUCCUGAGUUAUGGUCGUUCAAACAGGGCCUGCCCGACAACCUGAACAUAAACUGCUGGGACUGUUUCGUGCAUUUUUGCUCUAGUUCCGUUGAGAUCUGGGUUGAAGAGCCUUCAUGAAAGUUGUAGAGCUUUGGGUGACCUGUCUAAAUGCUAAAUUUCAGAGCGUUUGGACCUUGGUAGCAUACAAAACGAUCCAAACACUCUAAACUGUUUGAAUUGCCUAAGACAGUUUCUGGUGGCUAUUGUUUUUGUCUAUUUUGAUGAUGAAGAGGUCUAUUUUAGCUCUUGAUUCUUCAUGAAAGUUGUGACUCGUUCUCUUAGCUUCGAAACGGUGUCUCAUACACCUUAAUCCAACAUUCAUAGCCUAACUUAUGGUCAAAACGGUUUAGGGUGGCAAAUCUGCCGUUUCCGUUUCCGUUCGCCGUUUCUGCGCACGCGCGUGUCCGUUUUGCCAUUUUGCUUGAUUUAUACAUUUUAGUAGCUGUUUGUGGAAUAAUGUGGUACAACCUUCUAUUGCAGACGGUAGCAGGCUAGGCGAAGCCAGUGGGAC